CGGGGCGUAGCUCAGCUUGGCUAGAGCGCCGUCUUUGGGUGGCGGAGGUCGCACGUUCAAAUCGUGUCGCCCCGA
rnacentral:tRNA from 1 species